GACGAACGCUGGCGGCGUGCUUAACACAUGCAAGUCGAACGGAAAGGCCCUGCUUGCAGGGUCCUCGAGUGGCGAACGGGUGAGUAACACGUGGGUGAUCUGCCCUGCACUUCGGGAUAAGCUUGGGAAACUGGGUCUAAUACCGGAUAGGAACCAUCUUUAGUGUGGUGGUUGGAAAGUUUUUUCGGUGUAGGAUGAGCUCGCGGCCUAUCAGCUUGUUGGUGGGGUAAUGGCCUACCAAGGCGGCGACGGGUAGCCGGCCUGAGAGGGUGUACGGCCACAUUGGGACUGAGAUACGGCCCAGACUCCUACGGGAGGCAGCAAUGGGGAAUAUUGCACAAUGGGCGCAAGCCUGAUGCAGCGACGCCGCGUGGGGGAUGAAGGCCUUCGGGUUGUAAACUCCUUUCGCUAGGGACGAAGCUUUGUUGUGACGGUACCUAGAUAAGAAGCACCGGCUAACUACGUG
rnacentral:rRNA from 1 species